CAAAGGGCACUGGUUUAUUUAAAUAUAUGUCAGUGCAAGUUGUUUUAAUUUGGACAGCUCUUACAUUUAUUUUAGUUUAGGACUAGUGUAAUCCCCAUAGAGAUCCAUUGCAGGGUAUGGAGGUCCCCUGUUGGAUAGGUAGACAUCAGUCAGGGUUGCAGGUCCCCACUUGGCAUAUUUUAAAAAAAAAUAAAAAUUGACAUUUGAAGUUAUAUUAUGAAAAUAGGCAUUAAAAUAAAAUUUUCUAUGUAGUUUUUGUGUGUAAAAAAUGAUCAGAAACACUAGUCCCCUCUUGGUCAGUGUUCAGUGAUAGUCCCCUUUUUGUAAUGUAGGUAAGUAUGUGUGUGUGUGUGUGUGUGUGUGUGUGUGUGUGUGUGUGUGUGUGUGUGUGUGUGGGAGCCGGGGGGCUGUAAAAAAGCCCUGAAGGGAAAACACCCAGAACAGAUGGUUUCAAUAAACAAGUUGCUUGCUUUAUAACUAUGUUACAUUUAGAGAACGUGAAAAUUAGUAUGUUUAAUUAAUGAAUGCAUUUAACCAAUUUAUGAACAAUGGAGUAUUGUUGUGUUGUUGAAUAAUGUUUUACAUAUUUACUGCCUACAUUUCAUGAUGAUUGCCAAAAGUGUUAAAGUUACAAAGAUGUCCAGAUAAGGACAUAAUGCCUUAGGGAACAGAAUGGUCUGUGUAUGUCUUUCUGUCUGUGUGGUAUGCAACCCCCCACAGGUUACAAAGGUAUGUGGAGAUGGAGUCAGAUGAAUGAGAACAGCCCAUUGGGGGAGGAGGAAUUGUGAAGAAAGAACGACGAUAAAUACUCAUGUUUUUUGUCCUGAGCUGGUAGUCCGUCGAAUCCUGCUGUUAGGACGUGAGACGACCCAGCAUGCUGUAAACUUUUUCAUAUCUGAUCAAUAAAUAUUCAAUUUAGAUAUUUGUGUCUUACUCAAAUUAUGAACAUGCUUUGGACGCCUAAAAGUCCAACAACCUCAAGGUACAUGUAUGUACCUUUUUGAGGGUCAAAAAGGUACAUAUUUGUUCCCAACCAUUAAAAGGUACAUAUAUGUACCAUUUCUUUUAAAGAAUAAGGUACAAUGUUAAGAGACAGCCUCUGUCAUUUUUUUUUUCAUUGUUGUUCUAGACAACUGCUGUAAAUAACCAUUGUAACCAUUGUGUCAAUUUUUGUUUCCUUUAGUUGGGCACAUGGGUCUUGAAGUAGUUUUAGUUUUCUUCUGUUCAUUGACAGUGUGUUUAAUUUAAAAUUUUAAUUAAAAAAAAGUUAAUUUCACUUAAUAAAAACUUUGAUAAGAAACUCAAAAACUGCAAUUGAUUAACCAUAACUUAAACUGAAUAAAUACUGAAUCUGAAUCCCUCACACAUCCACCUGAAGAAAUGCGCUUUUAUUUUGACACGCGCCCAUCCCCCACUUCUCACGGUCGGAGUUGAGCUUCACAGAGCAGCGCAACAGGAGGACGACACGACAGACAUGAAGAGCAUUAGUUCAGCGCAAACGUUUCCCGCGCAAGUUUGAAUCUCAGUCAGGGGGGAGAUUGACUGACAGACGAACGUUACUCUACCAAACGGUUAUUCACUUAUAAAACCUUUUAAAGUUUAGCGCAAAUGUUUCCUGUGCAAGUUUGAAUCUCUCUCAGUCAGGGGGGAGAUUGACUGACUAACGUUACUCUCUACCAAAUGGCUAUUCACUUAUAAAACCGUUUAAAGUUUAGCGCAAAUGUUUCCUGUGCAAGUUUGAAUCUCUCUCAGUCAGGGGGGAGAUUGACUGACAGACUAACGUUACUCUUUACCAAACGGUUAUUCACUUAUAAAACCUUUUAAAGUUUAGCGCAAAUGUUUCCUGUGCAAGUUUGAAUCUCUCUCAGUCAGGGGGGAGAUUGACUGACAGACUAACGUUACUCUCUACCAAAUGGCUAUUCAAUUAUAAAACCUUUUAAAGUUUAGCGCUAACGUUUCCAGCGCAAGUUUGAAUCUCUCUCAGUCAGUCAGGGGGGAGAUUGACUGACUGACUGACUACUCGCCACCAAACUGUCAUUUACCCAGAAACCUUUUAAAGUUAAGUUUAGCACAAACGUUUCCUGCACAAGUUUGAAUCUCUCUGUCAGGGGGUAGAUUGACUGACUGACUGACUACUCGCCACCAAACAGUUAUUUACCCAGAAACCUUUUAAAGUUUAGCACAAACGUUUCCUCGCAAGUUUGAAUCUCUCUCAGUCAGGGGGGAAAUUGCCUGACUGACUGACUACUCGCCACCAAACAGUCAUUUACCCAGAAACCUUUUAAAGCACAAACGUUUCCUGCGCAAGUUUUGAUCUUUACCAUUCAGGAGACUGGCUGACUGGUCUCAACCAACCAUCAUUCACAAGCAAAAACUUUAAAGAUAAGUAUGAAAGUGCCCAGAGCAGUUUUCGAUGUUUACCAUUAAGGAGGCUGACUGACUAUCAUCUACCACCCGUCAUUAACACAACAAAAACUAAAGAAAUAUUACUCCAUAUGGACUAGGGGUGUCCAUGGUUAACCGAUUAACCGAUUAACCGUAAAAAAUUGUUUAACCGAGUAAAACAUUUUGCUCGGUUAAAUGGCAUCAAUGGCGUGCAUUGAAUUUAGUUGUUAUACAUUUUUGCACCACCAGAGACUGCCAAAGCGCUCCCAGACAUUAUAAUGUCCACAAGUAAUAGCAGUUUUCUAAUAUGAAGCGGGCAAAGAAAAGCACAGCGUGGGAGCACUUUAAAAUCGAGAAUGACAGGGCAAAAUGCAAGUAUUGCAAUGCAGUGCUUAUAUACUUCAUCUACAACCUAGGGGUGCUGCGGUGACAGAAUUUUCCCACCGGUUAAUGCAUGCAGACGUGCGCAUUUUACUUUCACUUUUGAAUUACGCAAUUGUUUAAAUGCAGCGCUUGCGUAAGCUGCAUUAAAUCGCGUAUGAAUUUGCGUGCUUAUGAAUAAACAGCUGGUUUAAUUAAGUCCAAGCAGUGCAACCGGCUACUCCUCCAUAAAGCGCUGCUUAAAUGAUGGGUUUAUUAUUUUUCUUGAUAAAAAAUACAACAAAACUAUCUUGCUUAUAUUAAACAUCAUAUAUGUGCAUUAUAACAAAAACGAGUAAGCACGCGGCUGCUAUCGUCUGGUCAUUCAGCUCGCCUCGCAAACUCUGACAGAAAUAAAUGAAAUCUGACACCUGCUGCUUUGUGACGUGACGCGCGUUCAGCUCCGCUGUGAAUUCAUGCAGCAGACACAUUCAGUUAUAAGUGUUCGCUCUCUCUAACGAAGCUAAAUGAUUUAAUUACAAGAAAAUAUCAAAACGACGGUGAAAGACGGUGGCGGGGUGGGCAAGUGAUCUAACCGGUGAGAGGCUGAAGCACCGGCAAUCACCGUUUCACCGACUAUCGCGGCAAACCCAGCCAACACCCGGGCAUCAUAGAGAGGCGGCCGCGGAGCCUGCGAGUACCUUCGCCCAGCCUACCAUCCCCGCGAAUGCAAAAGUCAGUGACAUACUUAAAGGGAUACUUCACCGAUUUAGCAUUCAGCUUUGUAUCUGUAGAA